AAUUUCUUUAGUGUUCUAGCAGAUGAUUGACGAGCACAUCCAAAACAUAUAAUAUGUAUAUAUAUAAUUAUAUGUGUUGGCUGUGUUCCUCAGUCGUCUACUCAGCUCUACCCAAACGC
rnacentral:pre_miRNA from 1 species